GUCUGCGUGGCCUAAUGGAUAAGGCGUAUGACUUCGAAUCAGAAGAUUGCAGGUUCGAGUUCUGUCGCGGACG
rnacentral:tRNA from 1 species